CACAGACACGGUCUCAAUGGUGAUAGCUGAGCUGACUACACUGACUGUGCUAGUGGCAGACUCCACUAUGCUGGCAGGCUGGCUAACAGCCUGGGCCUUCGGAAAGUAUUCAUACCCCUUGCCUUUUCCACAUUUUGCUACAUGACAGCCUUAUUCUAAAAUCGAUUAAAAUGGUUUUUUUCCCCCUCAUCAAUCUAAAAUGUAAAAAAAAUGUUAAUAUUUACAUAGUAUUCAGACCCUUUAAUCAAUACUUUGUUGAAGCACCUUUAGCAGCGAUUACAGCCUUGAGUCUUCUUGGGUAUGAUGCCUGGUACACCUGUAUUUGGGGAGUUUCUCCUAUUCUUCUCUGCAGAUCCUCAAGUUCUUUCAGGUUGGAUGAGGAGCAUCGCUGCAGAGCUAUUUUCAGACACAUGCAAACAUGUGUCAUGUUUCAUGAGCUGAAAUAAAAUCUCCCAGCAAUAAAAAAAAAAGAGUCCCUGGGUUCGCGCCCAGGCUCUGUCGUAACCGGCCGCGACCGGGAGGUCCGUGGGGCGAUGCACAAUUGGCCUAGCGUCGCCCGGGUUAGGGAGGGCUUGGUCGGUAGGGGUGUCCUUGUCUCACCGCGCACCAGCGACUCCUGUGGCGGGCUGGGCGCAGUGUGCGCUAACCAAGGUGGCCAGGUGCACGGUGUUUCCUCCGGCGCAUUGGUGCCGCUGGCUUCCGGGUUGGAUGCGUGCUGUGUUAAGAAGCAGUGCGGCUUAGUUGGGUUGUGUAUCGGAGGACGCAUGACUUUCAACCUUCGUCUCUCCCGAGCCCGUACGGGAGUUGUAGCGAUGAGACAAGAUAGUAGCUACUACAACAAUUGUAUACCACGAAAUUGGGGAGAAAAAAGGGGUCAAAUUCAAAAAAAAAAAAAAAAAAAAAAAAANNNNNNNNNNGAGAAGCGUGGGGAGUUACAGGAGAUGGCCAAAGGGAGCACCCUUUUCAACCUGGGUCACAAGUUCACCCCCGUCUACCUCUUCCUCUUCAACGACCUGCUCAUCAUCGCCACCAAGAAGGGUUCAGAGCGUUUUGUGGUGUUGGACCACGCCCACCGCACCCUGGUCCAGGUUCAGCCAAUAGGAGACGACCAGGUCUCCAACCCUAGCUAUGAACACUGCUUUUGUCUGACUCUACUGGAGAACCACCAGGGACGCAUGAUGGAGAGACUGAUGAAGGCCCCUUCACAGUGAGUAGUAUGCACAGUGUGUGUGUGUGUGUGUGUGUGUGUGUGNNNNNNNNNNNNNAAAAAAAAAAAAAAAAAAAAAAGCUUAUUUCUCUCAAAUUUUAUGAAUAAAUUGGUUAACAUCCCUGUUAGUGAGUAUUUCCCCUUUGCCAUGAUAAUCCAUCCACCUGACAGGUGUGGCAUAUCAAGAAGCUGAUUAAAAAGCAUGAUCAAUACGCACCUUGUGCUAGGGACAAUACAAGGUAGUUAGAUCACACAAUACAAUGCCAUAGGUAUCUCAAGUUUUGAGGGAGCUUGCAAAUGGCAUGCUGACUGCAGUAAUGUCCACCAGAGCUGUUGCCAAAUAAUUGAAUGUUCAUUUCUCUGCCAUAAGCCGCCUCCAACGUCGUUUUAGCGAUUUUGUCAGUACACCCAACCGGUCUCGCAAACGCAAACCAUGUGUAACCACGCCAGCCCAGGACCUCCACAUCCGGCUUCUCCAACUGCGGGAUCGUCUGAGACGAGCCACCCGGACAGCUGAAAGACUGGCCUACUGACCUAGACCUGAUAGACUGAUAGCCUGUCUGCCUGAAACACGGAGAAGGCUGCUAUUGACUGAAACAGGUCAGAAGGCAAGGGCGGACAAUGGUUAUCCAUGUUGAUGGUUGGUCACAGACAGGCAGAGGGGUGUACAUUUAAGGAGCCAUAAUGAGUACUGUGUUGUCUAUCAGUUAUUUGUGUAUGUUCACAAGCAGCUACCCCUACUUCCAUUGUUAGUCAGAACCUGAGGCUAAAGCUGGAACCAGAAUUCACACACACUGUCUAUUCAGCACAUCAAGUUGAAAGUCAUCAACAAGUCUAAGUCGGUGUUAUGUGCUGAAGGAGUUCAGGUCUCAAGUGUGACAGUGUGCCUCAGGCAAUCGUUCAGGCAGAAAUAAUCAUAAGUGACGUUUAACCAAGCAUAUAAUGAGAUGGUUAGGGCUGUGACCAUACCAGUAUCACAAUGUUUUUUCCAUGUCAAAAAUGAAAACACGAAGCAGACCAAACUCUUUGGUCCUUGAAAAACCUGACGUAUGUAAAAAAUGUUUUGUGCUAUAGCUUGGAAAAUCAACAAAUGUGACUAGAUGACAACAUGAUGACGCUUGUUUCCAACAAAUAACUUAAAUCCAGUUCCUGUUUGGUUUUCUUUCCACGAUACUAACGAGUAUCGCAAUACUUGUAUCGUCCCGGCCCUAGAGAUAGUCAGAGGGUACUCAGUCAACAACUACAGUGCUGAUUGUACCCACAAAACUUGUAUAGGAGAAAGAAGGAAGGAGGAGAUGAGUGUUAGAUGAUGGACUGGUGGCAGCCGGACGGGAACAGAAGCAGCAGCACCGUGUAGCGAAUAAAGUAACUUUUUGGACCUGAAGGCCAAGACUGUCAAGAUAAAGGUGCUCAAAGUUGAAACAUUUUGCGCACCCCAUCCUACCAUGAGACAUCCAUGUCUUCAUCACUGGAAAAGGUAAACAGUUGAGAUGUCAACCCUCCAUAGGAAACCUUUUGGAAUCAUAGAGAUAUAGAUAACAGAAGAGACAUUACCAUUUCAUUUGAUAUUCGACGGUGGGUGGACCGGCGGUCAUCGUUGUGGUAGUAAUUUGAAGUUAAAACAUUUCAAUUGCAGUGGUCUGAAGGGAUAGGUCCAUUCUGUGAGUUCUAUUUCUGAUUGAAAUGCCACACGCCCUGUAUUCAAGAGCACAUUGUGUGUCAACCGAUGGCAGUAGUUUGGCAUUCGGGUCCAAAAAGUACCUUUCUGACCACUUCUUCCAAACAAGUACAUAAAGUCUUGUUUCAAUUCAAAAGGGAUUCUGUCAAAAAAGUGAUUGAAUUCAAAUGGAUUUACCCCCAUUCUCUUGUACAAGGCUGAGUGACUGUUCAUACAAGUAAAACAACCUCACCACGUCACAAACCUGUCUGACUAGCCAGUGCUGUUUUUGACAGAACGCUUCAACAGAAAGACUAAGUCAGAGACAAACACUGAGGACACAGCAUUGUUGAAACUGUUAAAGGCAGAACACCCUCCAUCUGCAAUACAAUCUCAGGAUUCAGGAUGUUGUAGUUGCCGAUAUAGAUAUUUUCUGAAUGGAUUUGAUGUCUUUAUAGAGAAUGAUGGACAACUGGAUUAAUACCUCAAACUGACUGGAAUUGACUCCCAACCAUGCGUACAGGUGAGCCAUUGGAAUCUUUACAAAUGUAUGAUCUCAAUUCUCAACUGAUCUCAUUUCUGAAGUUACAGAGAGCAAGGCAUUAUAACCUCCUUAAAAAGAGAAGCUUUCCUA
rnacentral:lncRNA from 13 species